rnacentral:rRNA from 1 species
UGGGGAAUUGUUCGCAAUGGGCGCAAGCCUGACGACGCAACGCCGCGUGGAGGAUGAAGAUUUUCGGAUCGUAAACUCCUGUCGAAUGGGACGAACAGAUUACGGGUUAACAGCCCGUAGUCCUGACGGUACCGUUAAAGGAAACCCCGGCUAACUCCGUGCCAGCAGCCGCGGUAAUACGGGGGGGGUAAGCGUUGUUCGGAAUUACUGGGCGUAAAGGGCGCGUAGGCGGACAGUUUAGUCAGAGGUGAAAGCCCAGGGCUCAACCUUGGAAUUGCCUUUGAUACUGGCUGUCUUGAGUUCGGGAGAGAUGAGUGGAAUGCCGAGUGUAGAGGUGAAAUUCGUAGAUAUUCGGCGGAACACCAGUGGCGAAGGCGACUCACUGGCCCGAUACUGACGCUGAGGCGCGAAAGCGUGGGGAGCAAA